AUUGAACGCUGGCGGCAGGCUUAACACAUGCAAGUCGAGCGGGGUGAUGGUGCUUGCACUAUCACUUAGCGGCGGACGGGUGAGUAAUGCUUAGGAAUCUGCCUAUUAGUGGGGGACAACAUUUCGAAAGGAAUGCUAAUACCGCAUACGUCCUACGGGAGAAAUAAGGGGAUCUUCGGACCUUGCGCUAAUAGAUGAGCCUAAGUCGGAUUAGCUAGGUGGAGGGGUAAAGGCCUACCAAGGCGACGAUCUGUAGCGGGUCGGAGAGGAUGAGCCGCCACACUGGGACUGAGACACGGCCCAGACUCCUACGGGAGGGAGCAGUGGGGAAUAUUGGACAAUGGGCGGAAGCCUGAUCCAGCCAUGCCGCGUGUGUGAAGAAGGCCUUAUGGUUGUAAAGCACUUUAAGCGAGGAGGAGGCUACUUUAGUUAAUACCUAGAGAUAGUGGACGUUACUCGCAGAAUAAGCACCGGCUAACUCUGUGCCAGCAGCCGCCGUAACAC
rnacentral:rRNA from 1 species